AUAUCAAUAAGCGGAGGAAAAGAAAAUAACAAUGAUUUCCCUAGUAACGGCGAGUGAAGAGGAAAAAGCUCAAAGUUGGAAUCCGGUUGCCCUAGGUAAUUGGAGUUGUAAACUGGAGAGGCGUUUUCCAGGCAAACCAAGCAAAUAAGUCCUUUGGAACAGGGCAUCAUAGAGGGUGAGAAUCCCGUCUUUGGCUUGAGUAUUGUCUUUUGUGAUACGCUUUCAAAGAGUCAGGUUGUUUGGGAAUGCAGCCUAAAUUGGGUGGUAAAUCUCACCUAAAGCUAAAUAUUGGCGAGAGACCGAUAGCGAACAAGUACCGUGAGGGAAAGAUGAAAAGAACUUUGAAAAGAGAGUUAAAAAGUAC
rnacentral:rRNA from 1 species